GAGGCACCGAUCACUGCUCCGUCGUCACCUGCGAGGCCCACCUUGGCCACAGGCUCUGGAGGCCAGUGCCU
rfam:Cavia porcellus strain inbred line 2N cont2.38606, whole genome shotgun sequence.